rnacentral:rRNA from 1 species
GACGAACGCUGGCGGCGUGCUUAACACAUGCAAGUCGAGCGGUAAGGCCCUUUCGGGGGUACACGAGCGGCGAACGGGUGAGUAACACGUGGGUGACCUGCCUUUAGCUCUGGGAUAAGCCCGGGAAACUGGGUCUAAUACCGGAUAUGACCUCAUGAUGCAUGUUGUGGGGUGGAAAGCCUUGUGCGGCUGGAGAUGGGCCCGCGGCCUAUCAGCUUGUUGGUGGGGUGAUGGCCUACCAAGGCGA